rnacentral:rRNA from 1 species
CACGUAGGGUGCGAGCGUUGUCCGGAAUUAUUGGGCGUAAAGAGCUCGUAGGCGGUCUGUCGCGUCGGCUGUGAAAGCCCGGGGCUCAACCCCGGGUCUGCAGUCGAUACGGGCAGGCUAGAGUGCGGUAGGGGAGACUGGAAUUCCUGGUGUAGCGGUGAAAUGCGCAGAUAUCAGGAGGAACACCGGUGGCGAAGGCGGGUCUCUGGGCCGUAACUGACGCUGAGGAGCGAAAGCGUGGGGGAGCGAACAGG